GUGCAGUGCAGUGCAGCGGGAAACAUGCAGAAAUAGUAAAGCGCGGCAUUGGCGGUACCUUUCGCGCCAACUAACCGGAAUAAAUCUCUCUUGGAGUCGGGAUUGCCGGGACUGCCGGGACUGUCGGUAUAAAUGCUGGCCAUACGUCACGCAGCGCGUCGCCCGAAGCCUGCCUGCAGGAUGCUCGGAAAAACUAUGUAUUAUAUCUGUAUCAAGUUCAUCAUUCUUAUUUUAUUAGCUGCGUCGGGGUGUAGAAAGAAAAAAAACGUUUGCGAAGGAAAGUAAAGCCAUCAUAUGGAAAAGCUGGGAAAGCGAUUCACCAAAGGUGGGUUAUAAGGUAUAGGAAUAUUGGCAUCCAUCGCCCUGUUGUUGCAGAGUAACGACCUGUCAUUGUUACCGUAUAAGAAUAGAAAGAGAUUUAUUAGGAGCUGCAGUAAAGAGAGGAAAUCGGGUGAGGGAUUUUCCUCUCCUCUUCUCUACUCCUACUUCCUUCCUUUCUUUCGCCUUUCACUUCUGAAACGAUUUUCCCUCCUCUUCCUCCUCCGCCGGCAGCUUCUCCUUCUGCAACCCCCAUUUCUUUUGCCCAUCGCCUUUUUCCUUAUUCGUUUUCGCCUUAUAUUCACCCUAUGGGCUUUCGAACGGCUUGGGAUACGCCUCAAUGGCAAGACUCGGGGUAUACGUAUACAUGCGAAUAUAACUACGAAACCAAACGAAAUAGAAAAACGAAACCAAACUGCGUUCGUUUAAUGGACAGCUAUUGUGUAUGAAAAAAAAAAAAGAAGGAAAAUAGAAGAAGCUGCAGAAAAAAGAAAAAUCCCUAGAGUCAUACACGUGUGAUUACAGCUCACGAUGGAAAUUUAUCGUUGCGAGGAUAUCAAGUUGGUAGGAGAUAACGAAGAAGAAAAUAAACAAAAUCCUGAUUGUAUAAUCUGAAUAAAGUAGUUAAUCUUAUCAAGUAGCAACGCAACUAAAACAACAGACACAAACAUAGGAUUCCACAGCAGAGUCUACACUCUACACUCUUCAGGUGAACAUCUUCUACGAGUACGAGCCAGAAAGACGCAAAGAAACAAAA